ensembl:lncRNA
CUUUAUUUAAUAUGUUUUAACCCAUUUUAGAAUUGUUUUGCAACUCAACGUUAUAAUUUUGCUGCCUUAUUUGUUCAUUUACAAACAUGUUUUUCACCCGUUUUUCUACGUUAGGAAUACCUACAGUACAUAAUUGGUUUAGAAUGAGGCAUUUCAAAUAACUGAUAAUGUGCGGCAUAGCGAAAGGUGAAAUGUUAGGAUGCGCAGGAAAAUUCUAUUAUUGUUUUGCGGUUGCAUUAUGUGUAGAACAAUCGUUAACAACAUGGAUUUAGUGGUAGCUCCAAAGCCAAAUACUGUACCGCACUGGGCGCAUUUAAAUUGUAAGCCGAAUUAAGCAAUUAUUUGGAGGAGCUGAAUUGUCGGAUAUCCUGUAGAAAGGUGACGAUCAAAAGCGUGAACUCAAAUCUGAAGAACAUUCUCCGGAUCACCUGGUGUAUUUUUAAGAUGUUAUUAGCCUUACAUUAUAAUAGUGGUUUAAAUUACAAAUAUAGACAAUUGAAUUGUUAAUCUCAAUUAUUUGUAUGACAAUAAAUCGUCAACUAAAAUGUCAUAAUCGUGACAGCGCUAGAGUUUAGUUUGGACCCAAAACAAGAUUUAUAUUUGCUGUCCCAAUUAUUAUAGAGGGCAAUAAGGGCAAUGUAUUAUUUAACAUAUUUUAAGUAACAGUUUAAGCAAUAAAGACAUUUAUAAAUGUCAGCUACAAAUAAGCUGGUCAGCCAUGGGAACAAUUGCAAACAUAACAUGCAAAUAGAUUAACCUAAAAAAAUCCACACUUUGAUGUGAGCAUGCUGUCUCCCAUAUCAGCAAAGGACCUGCUAAGAUGGGGGUCUUGAAUACAGCUCAGCCACUACCCCCACUGAUGCACCUGUCUUUAAUCAGACCAGGAGUAAGUAAAGUUGGAGGAAAAGUGUUAUGUGUGAUCAAACUGCCUGUGUUACAGAACUGUUUCUGGGACUCAGGGACUACAAAAUACCUAAUAUAAUUAGAAGAGUGCUGAGACCGCCGACGCUUUGACCAUCCACACCAUUAUCUCCAGAAUCGCCACUAUGGGAAGCCCAGGACCAAGCAGUCUCAAUUUCCUCAGCAGUUCUGCAUUUGUUUUCAAGGUUCCAUUUCUGCUUAGUUAAUGAACGCCCUUUAUGGCCCAAACCUGUUUCCCUUCCUGUGUUCUCUCCCCAUGAAAGGAUUGAUCCUUCUAGGAAACCUGUUGUGAUGCUGAGGAAAUUAUUCAAAAUAAUUAGUGAGUGUACACUCUGUCCAUUAUAUAAUUGUUAAAGCUGCUACACAUUAAGACAAUGGAGAAAUUGUAUAAUUCAUGAAAGUUGAUAUUAUAAUAAGUGAUGCACUAUGUUGAAGGCCUUACACAGACCUUUAAAAGGAAUGCAUGUCCUUCUUUUACAGUACAGUUAAUAACUUCCAAAUCAUAGCAGAGGUUGUGUUAUGACCAGGUCUAAAACCCAAUUCAUUUAUAUUUAGAAUAUAAUGAGUUAAUAAGGAUUUGAGUUGAGGAUUCCCAUUGUUUAGGUAGACAGAAGUGUAGAAAUGGGGUUCUAAUGAUUUAUCACUUUUGUGGCGCGGGUGCACAUCGGCCACGUUCCAGACCCUGGGGAAGGUGCCGGAAGAAAUCAUAGGUUUAAUCCUGCAAUGGGACGUACUGUACAGAAAGUUACGACAAGACUGCAGGUUUUUUGGUGGCUGCAGAGCAACCGACAGGAAUAAGAGUGACAUCAACUGCAUCACCAAGAGAGUGGAUGACAUACAUGAGAUGAGUGAAAGGCUACGGUUUAUGGAAAUGAGCAUUACCCAUAAUCACAGUAACCACUUGGGGGCAACGGCCAAACCAGAAGAACUCAUACUGACAAUAGAAGAGACGUUACAGGUACCUUGUGAUAUGUACAAUGGGACUUAAACCUUGAAGAAAAUGGUUGUCUGAUGUUGGAUUCUUCCCCAAGAGAAACAAAGGAGCCAGUUUGCUUAUGUUUCCUUGCACAAAUGGGGCAACCUAGUCUAUCACAAACCGAUAUCCACUGUCUAUCACAUUCAGUAAAGCAAUGGAGUCGACUGAUGUUUGGCAGAGGAGAGGUUGUUAUAAUUAAAACAGAGUGAUUAAAUAUUUUGCAGCAUUGGAUGCAUAUGCUUGACAUCAAUCAUAACUGUGAGCUGAAAAACUCAUUUUCUUAAAGGAAUAAUUAACAGUUAAAAUGGCAAAAAUGUGCAUUGAUGAUUUUACAGAAUGUCCCCAGAUUUUGUGGCUUGUUGGUAUGCUCUACACUGUACAAAGGGUACACUGUACACAAGUUUUUAAACGUGAUCGAAAUGUAUGACUGUGACACACGUGCACACACUACUCAAUAACUAUCAUUAACCUAACCUUUAUGUCUGAACUUAACCUAAUGCUAAACUUAACCGUUGCGUAAACCAAAAUCUAAACCAAACUAUUAAACUAAACCCCAGUUAUCCUCUUUAUUCUCCUCUUUUGUUCAAGAUCUCAUCUUAGCCAUCUCAAAACAAUUAUACAUUUAUACAUUGUAGUGUUUCUUUGGUCAAUUGACACUGUAACUUUUGAUUUGUGAAACCUGUUAAUUUGUUGUAUGGUGGAGUUUGUAUUCAACAAUUUAUACUACACAAUGUGCAUAUGCAUUUCACACACAUUUAUAUUGAUUAUUUCACUUGGGAAAUAUUUCAAAGUCUUAGCUUUUACUUUCACUGUCAUUUAUGUUCCCUUAGGCUUCACUCUUCAAUCUCAACAAGAUUUAACCGUUCUGAUCCAGUUUUAUUAGCCUUUAUUAUGUAAAGCAAUGGGAGCUUUCCAAAUAGCACUCAAUGAUCUUUGAAGCCUUUCAUUCUGUAUUACCUCACUACUAAGGGCUAAAAGCUUCUGCUAUUGUAUGUGUGGACUGUACCACUCAGCCAUGGUGACUUCAAAGGGGCUACUCUCUCCUAUUGUACUGCUUUACAUUGGGUGAAAUGGUAGAACUUUAUAUUAUAUCAGUGUAAUAAAGCAUGCAUGAUGGAUUUGUAAAUAAUUCACUCAUUUU